rnacentral:rRNA from 1 species
AUUGAACGCUGGCGGCAUGCUUUACACAUGCAAGUCGAACGGUAACAGGCCGCAAGGUGCUGACGAGUGGCGAACGGGUGAGUAAUGCAUCGGAACGUGCCCAGUCGUGGGGGAUAACGCAGCGAAAGCUGUGCUAAUACCGCAUACGAUCUAUGGAUGAAAGAGGGGGACCGUAAGGCCUCGCGCGAUUGGAGCGGCCGAAGGCAGACUGGGUAGUUGGGGGGGUAAAGGCUCACCAAGCCGACGAUCUGUAGCUGGUCUGAGAGGACGACCAGCCACACUGGGACUGAGACACGGCCCAGACUCCUACGGGAGGCAGCAGUGGGGAAUUUUGGACAAUGGGCGCAAGCCUGAUCCAGCAAUGCCGCGUGCAGGAAGAAGGCCUUCGGGUUGUAAACUGCUUUUGUACGGAACGAAACGGACCGGGUUAAUACCCUGGGCUAAUGACGGUACCGUAAGAAUAAGCACCGGCUAACUACGUGCCAGCCGCCGCCGUAACAC